CACGAACCCCGACGAACGUUAUUCGGAAUUAUUGGGCUUAAAGGGUGCGUAGGCGGUGCGGUAAGUGCGGUGUGAAAGCCCUCGGCUCAACCGAGGAAUUGCGCUGCAUACUGCCGUGCUGGAGGGAGACAGGGGUAAGCGGAACUGAUGGUGGAGCGGUGAAAUGCGUUGAUAUCAUCAGGAACACCGGUGGCGAAAGCGGCUUACUGGGUCUCUUCUGACGCUGAGGCACGAGAGCUAGGGUAGCGAACGGGAUUAGAAACCCCAGUAGU
rnacentral:rRNA from 1 species